CUCCGCCUUGGGGGCGGGGGCGGGGGCCGGGACCUGGGGCGGCCCGGCCUGACCUCCACCUCGGCCGAGCGGCCCCGGCGGCGAGCCCCACCCGGCCGGCGCAGGCCCGGGCCGCGAGCCCCUCCCUCCACCUCUCCCGCCCGGCCCGGCGCGCCUGGCGCUCGGUCGAGGCUGCGGGCCCGCAGGCGGCCAUGGCGGCGGGGGCCGGGGCCAGGCCGGCGCCGCGCUGGCUGAAGGCGCUGGGCGAGCCGCUGAGCGCCGCGCAGCUGCGGCGGCUGGAGGAGCAUCGCUACAGCGCGGCCGGCGUCUCGCUGCUGGAGCCGCCGCUGCAGCUCUACUGGACCUGGCUGCUCCAGUGGAUCCCGCUCUGGAUGGCCCCCAACACCAUCACCCUCAUCGGCCUCGCCAUCAACAUGGUCACCACGCUCGUGCUCAUCUCCUACUGCCCCACGGUCACCGAGGAGGCACCAUACUGGACAUACCUUUUAUGUGCCCUGGGACUCUUUAUCUACCAAUCACUGGACGCUAUUGAUGGGAAACAAGCCAGAAGAACAAAUUCUUGUUCUCCUUUAGGGGAACUUUUUGACCAUGGGUGUGACUCUCUUUCCACAGUAUUUAUGGCAGUUGGAGCUUCAAUUGCUGUUCGCUUAGGAACUCAUCCUGACUGGUUGUUUUUCUGCUCUUUUAUUGGGAUGUUCAUGUUUUACUGUGCUCAUUGGCAGACCUACGUUUCAGGCAUGUUGAGAUUUGGAAAAGUGGAUGUAACUGAGAUUCAGGUAGCUCUAGUGAUCGUCUUUUUGUUGACUACAUUUGGAGGAGCAACAAUGUGGGACUACACAAUACCCAUUCUAGAAAUAAAAUUGAAGAUCUUUCCAGUUCUUGGAGUAGUAGGUGGAGCAAUAUUUUCCUGUUCAAAUUAUUUCCAUGUUAUCCUCCAUGGUGGUGUUGGCAAGAAUGGAUCCACUAUAGCAGGCACCAGUGUUUUGUCACCUGGACUACACAUAGGACUAAUUAUUAUACUGGCAAUAAUGAUCUAUAAAAAGUCAGCAACUAAUGUUUUUGAAAAGCAUCCUUGUCUGUAUACCCUAAUGUUUGGGUGUGUCUUUGCUAAAGUUGCACAAAAAUUAGUGAUAGCUCACAUGACCAAAAGUGAACUGUAUCUUCAAGACACUGUCUUUGUUGGGCCAGGUCUUUUGUUUUUAGACCAGUACUUUAAUAAUUUUGUAGAUGAAUAUGUUGUUCUAUGGAUAGCAAUGGUCAUUUCUUCAUUUGAUAUGAUGAUAUACUUUAGUGCUUUAUGCCUUCAAAUUUCAAGACACCUUCAACUACAUAUCUUCAAGACUUCAUGUCAUCAAGCACCUGAACAGGUUCACAAGCAUAUUGACUGACUAAUAGCCCAAGGAAAAGAGGAGAAGCAGUUAGGGGAACCUAUGUGUGAAGGAAAUCCCCCUAUGCAGGAGGUUCAAGUUCUUUCUUCAAAGAGUCAUCAGAAUAACAUGGAUUGAAGAGACUUUCGAACACUUGCCAUCUCUUGCUGCUGCUGUUUCAUGAAAGGAGAUAUUAAACAUUUGUUUAAUUUUUAGUUAAGUGUUAUACAAUUUCAGCAAAUAAAAUAUUUCAGUGCUUACAUUAACCCUUAGUUUUUCAAUUUGAAAUAUAUUGACUUACAGUUUCCAUCAUAAUUUUUUUUUGCAACAUAGCCAUUUCUUUUUUAAGUUCACUUUGUGUACCAGUAAGUAGAUUAUCAUGAUUCUUCUCCAAGUCUUCCAAACUCUAAAACACAAAAGGCUAGUUCAGUUGUAAACCAUAACUUACUACCUCAAUUUCUAAACUUGUAAAAUUAAUUUUCAAAAAAAAACAUUUAAUAUUCAGAUAAUGUUCAUUAUUUAUUCCAAGUAAAAAUACAUUCUAACUAAUACAUGAAGACCAAAAUUCCCAGUAAAAAAAGUAAAAUAAAUCAGAUGUGAAUCAAAUAUAAUUAUAGAAAGCACAAUAGUAGUAUACUUUACUGGAAAGAAUGGGUUAAAGAACUAUUAAGGUCAAGAUGGAGGAAAAAAAGGAAAUGAAAGGAACUGUAAGUAAAAUAUGAUUUUGAAAAUUUCUAAUAAGUUUCUCAAACAUCAGGUUAUAACCUACUUAUUAUGUGACAUGAAUUCACUAGAGAGAAUAAAUAACCUAUAGUAUGAUUUCUUUCUUCAAGUUAUAAAAACAAAUUAUAUUUUAACUCUACUGCUCACUCAACAGUUAUCCUAGUGCCUACUAUGUAAAAAAUACUAAGUUAAGUGCUAUGGAAAAAUUUAAAAAUAAUACUUAAUUGCUUCCUUAUUCCAAAGAGAAGAAACAUAAACAAAAAUAACACCAAAGCAUUAUAACAGGAAUGGAAAUGCAGCUUACUCUGGCUAUAUAAAAGAAAAUGAGGAUUGAUUCCAAUUUAUUUGGCAAAAGAGUAAAAUUUCAAUAAAUAAAGGAGUUGAAAGUAUUCUAGAGGAAGAGUGUAAGCAAAAGCAUAGACUGUGGGUUCAGAGAAAGCAAUUAUGUAGAGGGGUGGGAGUAAUGGACAAGUGUAGUACAUGAAGCUUAAAGAGAGUCAUGUCAUAGGGAUCUCAAAGACCUAAGAAUUUAGAAUGGGAAGUAACAGAUUUUCAGGACAAAAAAGAUAUUUUUAUAAAAGAUAACAUGGCAGACGUAUAAACGAUGGCCUGGAGAACAGAGAAAUUAGUUAAGAGUUUUAAUGGUAAAAACAAAAAGUGAUAAGGCCCCGAACUAAGUUAAUAGGAGUGGGAAUUAAAAGAACAAGCGAACGAACCACUGAUGAAGAAAAAUUACAGGAUCUAGUUAUAAAUCAAAGUGAAAGGUAAAGGAGAUGGAGGGGGUCAAAGAUUAUACUUAAGUUCCUAUCCUAGGUGGUAAUGUUUAAUGAUAAAUACUUAGAAGAAAUACUUUCUAGUACUUUAUCAAACCUUCAUACCAAUUAACAAAUUAUUCUCAGGGAGCACUAGAGAAAGCAAGUUCUCUACUUGAAAAUGCUUUUAAAAAUAACUUGUGUUCAUACAAAUUAAAAAAAAAUUUUCAAAACUAUUUUACUAUUUAGACCACAACUUGCAUAUACAUCAGUAAAUAAUUCUCAAUCCACAAAUUUUUACUCUUCAGUUAUCUUGACUAUCUCUCUUUGAAGUUGGAAUAUAGUCAUUUUUGAUCACUGCAAUAAAUUGUAAAAGCAAAUAUACCAUAAAGGCUUGUAUAUUUGAAAACAAAAGAAAUACUAAGUAAUUUCAAUUGGAUCCAUUAUAUUUAAUAAAGACUGUGUAGUAAAAAUGAUUUAUACUUUCUAUUUUCAGUUAAAUAGAGAUAAUGACUUAAAUGUUAAUUGUGUGGAUUUGAUAUGUAAGUACAUUUAAAGGUAAAAUUCUCAAUUUACCAUUUUUCCUGUCUUGAAUAAUCACCACAAUUAGAUCCUAAAGUAAAGAUAUAUUUAUCACUUGUCAUAAACAAUAAACUCAAAAUGGAAAGAAGUUAAAAAUUUUAAAUGCAUAAGCAAAAUACUUUCCCCAUAAGCUUGAAAAGAAAAAAAAUCUUCUAUUUCCAUAAGUACAUUGUUUUUAAAGACUGUCUUGUUACAAAAUGUCCAUUUACCUUUACAAACUGCUCAUAUAAUUGUCUAAUUGUUUUCAGUCUUUGGUUCUGAACAAUUCUAGAUUGUUGAAAAACCUUUUGUUGUUGUCGAAACAUAUUCUACAAACAUAAAAGAAAAAACUCUGUAAUAACAAUUUGGUAAAGCUUUUUUAUUUUAUUUGUUUUUAGUGCUAGGGAUUAAACCCAGGGCUUAACACACAUGCUAGACAAGAAUUUUACCUCUGAACUAUGUCCCCAGCUCCAAAGUUUUAAAUUUAGCAAAAAAUAAUUCUACAUUGAAUUUAAAGGAUUAGUUUAUAAAUUGGUAAUUUAAAAUUUUUGUUUUAACAACUAUUAUGACUGAGCUUAGAUACUUUGUGUUUACUCCUAACAUGCAAUAAUUAUAAUAAUCCAACCAAUGAGUAGGAAAUCUUAAUCACCAAGACAUGUCUACUCUUGGUAAUUUCCAUAUCUACAUCUUCCAGUAAUGGUGAUCUUUCAGUUCUUUAAUGUAUCCUCCACCAAUGAUUCUGUCUUCCCUACUUUAGCCAAUCACUUACAUACUUCUACCCUAGAUUUUGCCAUUAUCAAUGAUAGGACCCCUUUAUAGUAUUGAUAAUGGCAAACAAAAUAUAUAUUGUCUUUGUGUCAGAUACUAUUCUGGACCCUUUUAAGCAAACUUAUAUGAACUCAUUUAAUCCUGUGAGAUAGGUAUUCAUUACUCACUUCCUCAGAUGAGGAAACUAAGAUAUAAAUAAUUUGUCCAUAGUUUCACAGGUACCAAUUGCUCAAGCCAGGAUUUGAUCUUAAAUUUUAUGCUUCCAGAGUUUGGGCACAUUGCAUAUGCAUAUUGUUUCUCCACACAUCCCAGUAUUUGAUCACCAUCUCAACAUUGUAGCAUACUCUUUUAAGUAAUACAGUUCAAUAAUGUAUCAGGACCUGAAAUCCAUUAAUUCUACCUACUUUUCACUGUCAUUCCUACUCUUGUUGUCCUUACUACUUUUGUUGUCCAUAUAAAGGACAGUUAUUCUAAUUACCCCUUUCCAUAUGUACCUUGCCUGUUUCUUACUCUGUCACACUUGAUUGGCUAAACCUCAACCCUGGAAAAGUCAACUCUCUAGCUAUUCUACCUAGAGGCAAAGACCUUCAUCAUCUGAUUAUCGUAUUUCAUUAAAGAUAGAUGCAAUCUAAACUUUCCAUCUCCCAUUAUCAUACCAAUCAUCUACCUACAUUUAUUUAUGCUUAAGAUACUCUGCAUUCUCUUCUGUUUCUAAGGAUGAAUUAUCCUUACUCCCUACUAAAGCCAACUUCUACACAUGUCCCACCCACUCUGAAGAAUUCAUCAAAUGCUCCCCGGUUAUUUUAAAUGUGUCCCUCUAAAUUAUUCCUGCCUGUACACAAACAUGUUGUUAUUUCUCUUAUCUUAAAGAAAUAAAACCCUAUUUUUCUCCUCAGGUCACCAUAUUUCUUUGUCAUUCUGUCUAGUACUCAUUCUAAUCAGAUUUUUGCACCCACUUUUCCACCAAAAUCAUUCUGAUCCAAGACACCAAUGUCCUCCACAUUGCCAAAUUCACCCUUUUUGGCCUAUAAGCAGCAUUUAAAAGAAGUAAUUCUUUUUCUUUCUUAAAAAGCUUGCUUUAUUUGGCCUAGAGUGGUUUACAUACUACAUAUUGGGUCAAUCAUAACUGUUUCCUUUGCUGGUUCCCCCUUACUCUCAUAACUCUAAACUUUCAAGCAAAAUUUAUAAUUUAUAACUUACAAUCACUACUUUAUCUCAUCCAGUCUUCUUGGCUUAAAAACUGUCUUUAAGCUAAUUCUCAACUUUGUAUCUUUAGCCUCUCUCUCCUGAACUCUAGACCAAUACACCAGUGACCUGUGCGCCUCUCCUUGGAUGUUUCCUGUGCGUUUCAAAUUUAACUUUUCCAAAUAGAGCUAAUAAGCAACCAGCUCCUAAACCAGUAGCUCAGCUCUUAAAGAAUGUCUGAUAAUUAUAAACAAUGAAAGGAUAAAUUCAAAGAGCAGUUAAUACAGUUAUAAAUUUUUGAGUAGGGCUGACUUCUAUCUUCCAUAUGGACAGGCAGGUAACACAAGUCUGACCGUUAAGAAGCAACCAUGUUCUAGGUAGGGCUAUAUAGCUCAGUGACAGAGUGCUUGCCUUGCAUGUAUAUAGGCCAUGGGUUCAAUCUCCAGCAUCUCAAAUUUUAAAAAAGAAAAAAAAAAGUAAAGUGUAUUCUGAUUAUAGUGAUUAGUUCAGGAAUGGGCAACUAAAUUGGUUAUAUUCCUCCAAAGGAAUUUUCUGCCAGAGCUAGUGAUAAAGAUCAUCUCAAUUCACUGCAGUUACAAAAUUUGCAAAAAAAUGUAGUAAGUCUAGAACUGGGG